rnacentral:rRNA from 1 species
UGGGGAAUAUUGGACAAUGGGCGAAAGCCUGAUCCAGCCAUGUCGCGUGUGUGAAGAAGGCCUUUUGGUUGUAAAGCACUUUAAGCGAGGAGGAGGCUACUUGGAUUAAUACUCUAGGAUAGUGGACGUUACUCGCAGAAUAAGCACCGGCUAACUCUGUGCCAGCAGCCGCGGUAAUACAGAGGGUGCGAGCGUUAAUCGGAUUUACUGGGCGUAAAGCGUGCGUAGGCGGCUUCUUAAGUCGGAUGUGAAAUCCCUGAGCUUAACUUAGGAAUUGCAUUCGAUACUGGGAAGCUAGAGUAUGGGAGAGGAUGGUAGAAUUCCAGGUGUAGCGGUGAAAUGCGUAGAGAUCUGGAGGAAUACCGAUGGCGAAGGCAGCCAUCUGGCCUAAUACUGACGCUGAGGUACGAAAGCAUGGGGAGCAAACAGG